GGAACUGGUUUGGUUCUCAGCAUCCUGCUGGGGGAAAGAGGCUCUAGGGCGCCUCCUCCGCGGUGGGGCGGGCUGGGCAGGCCUCGGGCGCCCGAUCUUUGAGCUCCGGGGCGCUCGCUCCACCCACCUCCUUCGCCUUCCCUCUUAUCUCUUCAGGAAUCUCCCUGCACUUUGUCCCGGAGCUGCGCCGUCCCGCGCCUAGCAAUCGGUGGAACGACCUGGCUGCAGCAGAGCUUCUGGAAUCCACGUGGAUGCAAGAGCUCAUUUCAUUCAUCGUGAUCCAAAAGGAGGACGGACUCUCCAAAGGCAGACAGGGCCCACCUGCCUGGUCUAGGCAGAUGGGUAGGGCUCCUGCUUCUCCACACAUUUUGAAGGAUAAUUAAAUGUCGGGGCUACCUCGCAC
rnacentral:lncRNA from 1 species